rnacentral:rRNA from 1 species
UACGGAGGGUGCAAACGUUGCUCGGAUUCAUUGGGCGUAAAGGGUGCGUAGGCGGCGGUGUAAGUCGGUUGUGAAAUCCCGGGGCUCAACCCCGGGACUGCGUCCGAUACUGCACGGCUCGAGGCAGGUAGGGGAGAGUGGAAUUCCCGGUGUAGCGGUGAAAUGCGCAGAUAUCGGGAGGAACACCGGUGGCGAAGGCGGCUCUCUGGACCUGUCCUGACGCUGAGGCGCGAAAGCUAGGGGAGCGAACAGG